rnacentral:rRNA from 1 species
UACGGGGGGGGGUAAGCGUUGUUCGGAAUUACUGGGCGUAAAGGGCUCGUAGGCGGCCAACUAAGUCAGACGUGAAAUCCCUCGGCUUAACCGGGGAACUGCAUCUGAUACUGGAUGGCUUGAGUUCGGGAGAGGGAUGUGGAAUUCCAGGUGUAGCGGUGAAAUGCGUAGAUAUCUGGAAGAACACCCGUGGCGAAGGCGGCUCUCUGGGACGGUACUGACGCUGAGACGCGAAAGCGUGGGGAGCAAACAGG